UACGGAGGGUGCAAGCGUUAUCCGGAUUCACUGGGUUUAAAGGGUGCGUAGGCGGAUAGGUAAGUCCGUGGUGAAAUCCUGCAGCUUAACUGCAGAACUGCCAUGGAUACUAUCUAUCUUGAAUGUCGUGGAGGUUAGCGGAAUAUGUCAUGUAGCGGUGAAAUGCUUAGAGAUGACAUAGAACACCCAUUGCGAAGGCAGCUAACUACGCGAUAAUUGACGCUGAUGCACGAAAGCGUGGGGAUCGAAACAGGA
rnacentral:rRNA from 1 species